rnacentral:rRNA from 1 species
UACGUAGGGUGCAAGCGUUGUCCGGAAUUAUUGGGCGUAAAGAGCUCGUAGGCGGUCUGUCGCGUCGGAUGUGAAACCCAGGGCUCAACCCCGGGCCUGCAGCCGAUACGGGCAAGCGUAGAGUUCGGUAGGGGAGACGUGGAAUUCCUGGUGUAGCGGUGAAAUGACGCAGAUAUCAGGAGGAACACCGGUGGCGAAGGCGGGUCUCUGGGCCGAAACUGACGCUGAGGAGCGAAAGCGUGGGGAGCAAACAGG